UACAGAGGUCUCAAGCGUUGUUUCGGAUUGUACAGUUGGGCGUAAAGGGUGGUGUAGGUGGCGCCGUAAAGUCGGGUGUGAAAUUUCGGAGCUUAACUCCGAAACUGCAUUCGAUACUGCGGUGCUUGAGGACUGGAGAGGAGACGUGGAAAUUCAUGGUGUAGCAGUGAAAUGCGUAGAGAUCAUGAGGAAGACCAGUG
rnacentral:rRNA from 1 species